CUGCAUUUAAUAGAAGAUUAUUGGCAGAAAACCAGUCAGAAAUCAAUUUAAAUACUUUAUUAAAAUUCAGCAAUCGACGAAACCAUCGCAAAGCAAAAGCCAAGCCAUAGCGAUCAAUUGCUAAUUGUUUAAAAUUUUGGUAUCACGUAACCAUUCGUUUGCUUAUCGCUCGCUGUCCGCUCUGAGCGAAUAUAAUGCAGUUUUGCUAGAGCACUAGCGCCAAAACCAUCAGAAGGCAAUCAAUGGAACUAUUUAACGUCAAACUUAAAACAUCUGAUUGUAUUGUUACAAAUAAAUGGUAAACAUUGCUUUUUGGUAUUUCAUCCCUGUGUUAAUGAAAAUCAUAUUGGACACAGUCCACUCUUAAUUUCAACAAAAAUAAUGAAGUGCGCCAUGAACAGUUAGUGAAACAUUGAAACAUGUGUUAAACAUUGUGUAAGGAUUGUUGAAAGUUAACAAGUAAAAUAACUAAGCUUCCAAUAGUACUUCGUUAAAGAGACGAUGGAACCAAAUCUACUUUGGAUUUUAUACGGCAUUGAUGUAUUUUAGAAACAAGGAUAUCAAGAUGAACAGAGUGUCAAAAGAACAGCUUGAGGUUUUGUUGGAGUUUUAUAGUUCUUACAAGAACAUCAUUCUUUAGCCAAAGACAUAGACUCGGCACCACAUUCAAGAAAACUUUCGAUAGUCAGUGGAAACAUCUACCGAUAAAGCUGAACUCUAUUGGUUUAGGUUCAUCCAAAACUGGAGAGCAUUUGAAACGUACUGGGCUGAUAUUUAAUAAGAGCAAAACCAGACUUGCUAAACAUAGAUGGAGUCUUCUGACUGACUGACUGGCAGCGGUCUGAGUACACCGAAAAGAUAUUUCCGAGAUGGACAAAAAAAUCUGUCAUUGGAGAACAGGCUCUGUUUGGGAUGUAGAAAACAGAGUUCCAAUCUUGUAAACUUUACCAUAAAUAUUAUGUAUAUUAAAGAAAAAAAAGAUUUUUAUUUAAUAACUAGCCUUGCCAACUUCACAACAUGUCAAACAUUUUUACUUUUUUUUAUUUUAUGUUUUCUUGUGUAGUUCACAUUAAUAAUAAUCACAUUGAAAUAUAGUUUAUUUCACUCAGGAAUAAUGUAGCUUUCUACUGGUAAUAGAAUUUAAAAAAUGAAUUCAGUAUUUCCAGAAUUAACUUAGUGCUAACAAUCUUAUUAACUUAGAUUUUCACACACUAAUUUGAGUAAUUAAUUAAAUCAUUUUUUUGUUUUUAAAUGUACAUAGUACUUACAUGUAUACAGUAGCAUGUUUUAUAUAAAUAAAAAUGCCGUUUAGAAUUUGAUUAAUAAUUUAAUACAAAAAUUAAAUUCAAAUUAUCUCCUAGUCGACUACAAACAUUGCACAAU
rnacentral:lncRNA from 1 species